GUGACAUUCCAUGAAGGCGCUGCCUGGCCUGUGGACGUCAAGCUGGGCGCAUGCGCGCUGCGGCUCUGACGCAGGGUCAGAGAGGACUCCUGGAGUCUAGGUGUUUCCUUUUCUUCUUUUUCCAAAUGUCUUAUGCUUGGGAUGAAUUAUUGGUUCUGGCCCCUUUCACUUCAUGUCACGGAGAGUGCUCUGUAGCUCGAUGGCAUUUGAGUGAUACAAGUUAUCCCAUUUCCAAGACCCGGCCGCUGGGGACUUGGGCCCCUAACUGCGCCGGAUGGGGUAAUUAUAGGACCUACCUCAGGACUGUGAAGAACGCUAGUGGCGUGCGAGAGCACAGUGUUAGGUGAACAGUACGAGCUCAGUAGGCUUCAGGGCUUGUUACUCAACACUUAACACUCCCUUCAACAAGCAUUUUUGAAUGAUUGUCUGGCUCUGUGAGGCCCUGAGCAUGUUAGUAAAAGAGUAUGUUCUUAAAGAACCAAGAUUUGCUGAAGAAAAUGAAAUCUCCUUGCUCAUGAUCACGGAUUUUGGAGAUUAAGAAGCUCAGUUGGCCGUUAAGUGACAUUUGUGGAUUCAGGCUCAGCAAGUCUCUCGUCCAGCCCAUCCAGGACCAAGUCUAUUUCAUCCGGCUCAUCUUAAAGGGAAAGCCUAAUCUCAAAGUCCUCAUAGCAUGCCUGGCACAGCCACUCAAGUCCACUCAGAAGGCUGGUCCCACCUUGUUGAGUCACCAGCUCCCUCUCUGACCUGGAGCACAAUUAUAAGGAAGGCAAAACACUGACUGUGCUGAUCACGGGGAAGAAGUGACUCGGGCAGUUCCUGGGCAGGAAACCUGUUCUCCAUAUCAGGCAGCAUACCUUUCUGCAUGUGCUUGGGAACCGUGGAGACCCAGCCCUUCCUAAAUAGCUGCUCUUCAUUUUUUUCAUAUAAAGCCACGGAGAGGUUUUGGGCUGAUGGUGUCAAUGUCUGUCAGCUUCCUGAGGGAGGGUGUGUCCAUCGAACUAGCUCUUCAUGAUUGUCAAUUACCUAUGGGCAGAUACACCGCUUUUGUGCAGAAGAUGAGAUGCCUGUCCUUGAGAAGUUUACAGGCUAAUACCACUGUCCCCUGGACUGUGACUACUUGGAGCGCAGAUAAUGCACUUAGAAUUGAUUUCAGACUCCUUUCCCCACUCCUGCUCAACCCAAGUCUUCUGACCAGUUUUGUCCGAGAAUGCCUCCUGUACUCUCACGCCAGAUUUGGUAUUCAAGCAGUUGUGGCGAAGGCUGAAAACAGUCAAAACUCCUUUUUCCCCCCCUUUUAGUGAGUAUCCAGUGUAAGCUACAUUUUUUCAGUUUCCUCCCUCUUUCAAGACCCUUAGCUCAAUUAAUCCCAAGUAAUUGCUCUUUGAGAAUCCUGGGGGCGGGGGUGUCAGUUGUUAAGCAACUGCCUUCAGCUCAGGUCAUGAUCCCAGAGUCCUGGAAACAAGCCCUGUAUUGGGCUCCUUGAUCUGUGGGGAUCCUGCUUCUCCCUUUGGCUGCCAUUCCCCCUGCAUGUGCUCUCUCUCUGAUAGAUAGAUAGAUAGAUAGAUAGAUAAAAUCUCUUUUAAAAAUUGCUCUUUGGCACUUAAUAGGAAAAAAGCAUUUUCUAAUCUAACUUGCUUCAUAAAGAUGCAGUGGAGGGAUGGGUAGGUUGGAAGAGAGAGAGAGAGAGAGAGAGAGAGAGUGUGUGUGUGUGUGUGUGUGUGUGUUUGUAACACACAGAGUGGCCAUGACUUACUGCCUCAACGACUAUUACAACUGGCAAUAGGUGCAGGGUUUAGGAGGCGGGUAUCCAAAUCACCAGUCUCUCCACUUUUCUAUACGUUUGAAAUUCUCCACAAUAAGAGAUGUUUCUUAAAAAAAUUGUAUUUCUAUAUUUGUGUUGAACUGUGUUCAAAUUCUUUUUUUAAAAAAGAUUUUAUUUAUUUAUUUGACAGAGAGACACAGUGAGAGGGGGAACGCAAGUAGGGGGUGUGGGAAAGGGAGAAGCAGACUUCCUUCUGAGCAGGGAACAUGACAGAUAUGGGACUUGAUCCCAGGACCGUGGGAUCAUGACCUAAGCUGAAGGCAGAUGCUUAACAGACUGAGCCACCCAGGUGCCCCUGUGUUCAAAUUCUUUGUCCAGUUGUCUGUUGUGGUACUCACCUUUUCAUCUUUCUUUUAUUGAUUUAUUAAAGUCGUUUAUACAUUAAGGAAGUUCUUUUGUCAUAUGUAUUGCAAAUUUUUCCCAUUUUGUUCCUUGUUACCACUAUUUUUGGCAUGAAAAUUUAAGUUUCAACACAGUUACAUCUAUUAUUGUUUUCAUUUUCUUUUUCUUUUUUUUUGUUAUGUUUAAAAAGACCUUACCCACUACUAGAUUUGAAACAAUGACAAUGUAGAUACAUAGAUAGAUAAAUAGAUAAGAUAGAUAGAUAGAUAGAUAGAUAAAAUCUCUUUUAAAAAUUGCUCUUUGGCACUUAAUAGGAAAAAAGCAUUUUCUAAUUUAACUUGCUUCAUAAAGAUGCAGUGGAGGGAUGGGUAGGUUGGAAGAGUGUGUCUGUGUGUGUGUGUGUGUGUGUGUGUGUGUGUGUAACUGUAUCUUUGUACAGUACUUUCAACAUUUUAUUGUUGCAUUAAAUCUUUGACCUCUCUGGAAUUUAUUUUGGUGUAACAAUUGAGGUCAAGAUUUAGCUUUGUUGUUUUACUUUUAUUUAUUCCAAAUUGGUAAUCCAUGGUCCCAAUAUUAUUUAUUUAGGGACCAUUUUUUUUUUCCUCCACUCAUCUGAAAGGCUACAUUUAGGAUGUAACAGUUUCUCACAAGGAUUUGUCUGAAACCUUCAUUAUGGGUUUGUUUCUUUUUUUGAAGAUUUAUUUAUAUAUUUGAGAGAGAGAGAGAGAGAGCAUGCUGAGGGAGGGGUAGAGAGAGAAGGAGAAAGAAAAUCCCAAGCAGACUCCCCAUUGAACAGACAGCCAGAUGCACGGCUUAUCCCACCAUGUGGAGAUCAUGACCUGAAUGGAAAUUAAAAUUGGAUGCUUUCCCUUCCUGAUCAAAACCUUCAAAGUGUAGGGAUAGAGGGCACAUACCUCAAUAUUAUCAAAGCCAUCUAUGAAAAACCCACUGCAAAUAUCAUUCUCAAUCGAGAAAAACUGAAAGCUUUUCCGCUGAAGUCAGGAACACGGCAGGGAUGUCCAUUAUCACCACUGCUAUUCAAUAUAGUACUAGAAGACCUAGCCUCAGCAAUCAGACAACAAAAGGAAAUUGAAGGCAUCCAAAUCAGCAAAGAAGAAGUCAAACUAUCACUCUUCACAGAUUAUAUGUUACUAUAUGUGGAAAACCCAAAAGACUCCACUCCAAAACUGCUAGAACUUAUACAGGAAUUCAGUAAAGUGUCAGGACAUAAAAUCAAUGCACAGAAAUCGGUUGUAUUUCUCUACACCAACAAUAAGACAGAAGAAAGAGAAAUUAAGGAGUCAAUCCCAUUUACAAUUGCACCCAAAACUAUAAGAUACCUAGGAAUAAACCUCACCAAAGAGGCUAAGAAUCUAUACUCAGAAAACUAUAAAGUACUCAUGAAAGAAAUUGAGGAAGACACAAAGAAAUGGAAAAAUGUUCCAUGAUCCUGGAUUGGAAGAACAAAUAUUGUGAAAAUGUCUAUGCUACCUAAAGCAAUCUACAUAUUUAAUGCAAUUCCUAUCAAAAUACCAUCCAUUUUUUUCAAAGAAAUGGAACUAAUAACCCUAAAAUUUAUAUGGAACCAGAAAAGACCUCGAAUAGCCAAAAGAAUAUUGAAAAAGAAAGCCAAAGUUGGUGGCAUCACAAUUCCGGACUUCAAGCUCUAUUACAAAGCUGUCAUCAUCAAGACAGCAUGGUACUGGCACAAAAACAGACACAUAGAUCAAUGGAACAGAAUAGAGAGCCCAGAAAUAGACCCUCAACUCUAUGGUCAACUAAUCUUCGACAAAGCAGGAAAGAAUGUCUAAUGGAAAAAAGACAGCCUCUUCAAUAAAUGGUGUUGGGAAAAUUGGACAGCCACAUGCAGAAAAAUGAAAUUGGACCAUUUCUUUACACCACACAUGAAAAUAGACUCAAAAUGGAUAAAGGACCUCAAUGUGAGAAAGGAAUCCAGCAAAAUCCUUGAGGAGAACACAGGCAGCAACCUCUUUGACCUCAGCCACAGCAACAUCUUCCUAGGAACAUCGCCAAAGGCAACAGAAGCAAGGGCAAAAAUGAACUAUUGGGAUUUCAUCAAGAUCAAAAGCUUUUGCACAGCAAAGGAAACAGUUAACAAAACCAAAAGACAACUGACAGAAUUGGCGAAGAUAUUUGCAAAUGACAUAUCAGAUAAAGGGCUAGUGUCCAAAAUCUAUAAAGAACUUUUCUAACUCAACACCCAAAACCCAAAUAAUCCAAUCAAGAAAUGGGCAGAGGACAUGAACAGACAUUUCUGCAAAGAAGUCAUCAAGAUGGCCAACAGACACAUGAAAAAGUGCUCCACAUCACUUAGCAUCAGGGAAAUACACAUCAAAACCACAAUGAGAUAUCACCUCACACCAGUCAGAAUGGCUAAAAUUAACAAGUCCGGAAAUGACAGAUGCUGGCGAGGAUGCGGAGAAAGGGGAACCCUCCUACGCUGUUGGUGGGAACGCAAGCUGGUGCAACCACUCUGGAAAACAACUAGGAGGUUCCUAAAAAUGUUGAAAAUAGAACUACCCUACGACCCAGCAAUUGCACUACGGGGUAUUUACCCUAAAGAUACAAACGUAGUGAUCCAAAGGGGCACGUGCACCUGAAUGUUUAUAGCAGCAAUGUCCACAAUAGCCAAACUAUGGAAAGAACCUAGAUGUCCAUCAACAGAUGAAUGGAUAAAGAAGAUGUGGUAUAUAUACAUAAUGGAAUACUAUGCAGUCAUUAAAAGAAAUGAAAUCUUGCCAUUUGCGACUAUGUGGAUGGAACUAGAGGGUAUCAUGCUUAGCAAAAUAAGUCAAUCGGAGAAAGACAACUAUCAUAUGAUCUCCCUGAUAUGAGGAAGUGGAGAUGCAACAUGGGGGGUUAAGGAGGUAGGAGGAGAAUGAAUGAAACAAGAUGGGAUUGGGAAGGAGGCAAACCAUAAGUGACUCUUAAUCUCACAAAACAAACUGAGGGUUGCUGGAGGGAGGGGGUUUGGGAUAUGGGGGUGGGGUUAUGGACAUUGGGGAGGGUAUGUUCUAUGGUGAGUGCUGUGAAGUAUGUAAACCUGGUGAUUCACAGACCUGUACUCCUGGGGAUAAAAAUACAUUAUAUGUUUAUAAAAAAUAAAAAUAAUUGGAUGCUUGUCCAACUGAGCGACCCAGGUGCCCCAUGAAAUCUUGAUUAUCGUUAAAAUGAUACCAUUUAAUGAAUCGUUUUAAUGAUUCCUUUUCACUUUCUUUUCUUAUGCCAGGAAAACUAUUUUUGUUACAGUAGCUUUGUAACUACCCAAUUCAUUCUAAGCAGAAUGGAAAACUAAGGGUUCAGGCUCUGAUGUUGGAAUGCUUGGCUCAAAUCUUGGCUUGAAUGCAUAUCAGAUAAUUACUUCUCCCUAGGAUGCUGUUUUUGCUUCUGUAAAAUGAAGAUAAUAAUGAGAUAAUAAUGUUACCUGUCUAAUGGGGCUGUGUGAGAAUUAAAUGAGCCUAGCAUAUAGUAGAAUUGGGCAUAGAACAUGGUUAAUACCCACUAAAUGUUAGCUAUCCAUAAUUUUCAGGAUAGUAUGAUUCUCUUAUAUUUAUUAUUCCAUGUAACUUUGAUAUCACUUUGUCAAGUUCCAUCUAAAAAGCUUAUUUAUUUUGGAAUUGAAUCAGUAGAUUGAUUAGGACAGGUGAACAUGUUUAUGAUAUUGAAUAUCCCUCAGAUUUCAAAAACAUAUCGUUAUUCAUGUUUCUUGUAUGUUUCUCAGUAAAGUUUCAUUAUUUUUU